rnacentral:rRNA from 1 species
CGUUAAUCGGAAUUACUGGGCGUAAAGCGUGCGCAGGCGGUUAUGUAAGACAGAUGUGAAAUCCCCGGGCUUAACCUGGGAACUGCGUUUGUGACUGCAUAACUCGAGUGUGGCAGAGGGGGGUGGAAUUCCACGUGUAGCAGUGAAAUGCGUAGAGAUGUGGAGGAACACCGAUGGCGAAGGCAGCCCCCCUGGGUCAACACUGACGCUCAUGCACGAAAGCGUGGGGAGCAAACAGGAUUAGAUACCCUGGUAGUCCACGCCCUAAACGAUGCGAACUAGGUGUUGGGGAAGGAGACUUUCUUAGUACCGCAGCUAACGCGUGAAGUUCGCCGCCUGGGGAGUACGGUCGCAAGAUUAAAACUCAAAGGAAUUGACGGGGACCCGCACAAGCGGUGGAUGAUGUGGAUUAAUUCGAUG